GUUAUAUGGAUUUCUGUGUUUUAUCUUUGAAACUGACUUAAGGUUCAUCUCCUUUUCCUUCUUUCUUUUUACAGGAUCACGUUGGUUUCUGUAUUUUUGUUGUGGUCUUCAAAGGAAAAUCUCGCAUAGAAUAGAGAUAGAUGUUGAUGAAAAAGACAAGGGUCUCAAUCUGCUGAAGCGUAGUGAUACACCCGCUGAUUCUGGUGGAUAUGACCAUUCAAGGUCCUGGUUUACUUUUCAAGAGUUGUAUGGUGCUACCAGUGGAUUUUCUGAUGACAAACUUCUAGGUGAAGGUGGAUUUGGUCGUGUAUAUAAAGGACUUCUAUCAAAUGGUAAAGUAGUAGCUGUAAAGCAGCUGAAAGUUGGUGGUGGACCGAGGGAGCGAGAAUUUAAAGAAGAAGUGGAAAUAAUUAGUCGUAUACACCACAACGACUAGGUUUCUCUUGUUGGGUACUACAUUUUGGAUGAUAAAAGGCUGCAUGUUUAUGCAUAUGUACCUAACAACACACUCCAUGUUCAUCUUCAUGGAAAAAGGAGGCCAGUUUUGGAGUGGCCAACACGACUUAAGAUUUCCUUAGGUACUGCUCGUGGUAUCACAUAUCUUCACGAAGAUUGUUUAUUACACUGCUCAACGGAAUAAUGGAUGGGAGAAAAAUGCUUAUAUUUGUGGAAACAGAAAAAGGAUGCGACCAGGUCACAAGACAAUUGAGGAUGGAUAGGUGGCCAGCUCUGGCCAUCUUUGGUGAUAAAGACUAGCCAGAAAUGGAUUUGGUUAUGUUAGAGUUAAAAGGGGCAGAAGUCCUAUAAUAACUGCAACUGAUGUUGCUGCACAUGAUCUUGGUAAGGUGACUUGAUUGUUUCCUUAUAGGUUUUAGGUUUUUAGUUGUCGUUUCGAAAAUUUAGUCUUGUUAGCCGGCUGCUGUCCACUUCCUGUCAAAUAUAUGUGGUUUGGGGUGGGAGGCUCCUGUCAAAGGGAGGCGAUGUCAUGGGUUCAUGUCGAUAGAAAAGAAUGUCCUAAACAAGAAUCCCAUUUAGCACUGAUACUAGAACAUAUCAAUAACUUUUUUUUUCUUGCUCGUGAUCAAUUCAUUAUUCUCUAUGUUACGGUAAACUACAUGGUAGCAUACAAUUUUUUGUAAAACUUUGGGUUGUCGCUAUCGGUUUAAUCAAUAUUAUGAUCAUGUGAUUGACUA